GGUUGGGGUUCAGCGGUAGAGUGCUCACCUAGCAUGUGUGAGGCCUUGGGUUCGAUCCUCAGCACCA
rnacentral:tRNA from 1 species